UACGGGGGGGGCAAGCGUUGUUCGGAAUUACUGGGCGUAAAGGGCUCGUAGGUGGCCAACUAAGUCAGACGUGAAAUCCCUCGGCUUAACCGGGGAACUGCGUCUGAUACUGGAUGGCUUGAGUUCGGGAGAGGGAUGCGGAAUUCCAGGUGUAGCGGUGAAAUGCGUAGAUAUCUGGAGGAACACCAAUGGCGAAGGCAGCUCGCUGGGACGUGACUGACGCUGAGACGCGAAAGCGUGGGGAGCAAACAGG
rnacentral:rRNA from 1 species